rnacentral:rRNA from 1 species
AACACAUGCAAGUCGAACGAGAAAGUGGAGCAAUCCAUGAGUAAAGUGGCGUACGGGUGAGUAACACGUGGGUGAUCUGCCCUCUGGUGGGGAAUAACCCUGGGAAACCGGGGCUAAUACCGCAUAAGUCCGCGAGGAGAAAGUCGCAAGACGCCGGAAGAGGAGUCCGCGGCCGAUUAGCUAGUUGGUGAGGUAAAGGCUCACCAAGGCAAAGAUCGGUAGCCGGCCUGAGAGGGCACACGGCCACACUGGCACUGAAACACGGGCCAGACUCCUACGGGAGGCAGCAGUGGGGAAUCUUGCACAAUGGGGGAAACCCUGAUGCAGCGACGCCGCGUGAGCGAUGAAGCCCUUCGGGGUGUAAAGCUCUUUCGGCAGGGAAGAUGAUGACGGUACCUGCAGAAGCAGCUGCGGCUAACUACGUGCCAGCAGCCGCGGUAAUACGUAGGCAGCAAGCGUUGUUCGGAGUUACUGGGCGUAAAGGGUGUGUAGGCGGUUGCUUAAGUUUGGUGUGAAAUCUCCCGGCUCAACUGGGAGGGUGCGCCGAAUACUGAGUGACUCGAGUGCGGGAGAGGAGAGUGGAAUUCCUGGUGUAGCGGUGAAAUGCGUAGAUAUCAGGAGGAACACCGGUGGUGUAGACGGCUCUCUGGACCGUAACUGACGCUGAGACACGAAAGCGUGGGUAGCAAACAGGAUUAGAUACCCUGGUAGUCCACGCCCUAAACGAUGCACAUUUGGUGUGGGUCAUUCAGUUGAUCCGUGCCGGAGCUAACGCGUUAAAUGUGCCGCCUGGGGAGUACAGUCGCAAGGCUGAAACUCAAAGGAAUUGACGGGGGCCCGCACAAGCGGUGGAGCA